UACAGAGGUCCCAAGCGUUGUUCGGAUUCACUGGGCGUAAAGGGUGCGUAGGUGGUGAGGUAAGUCGGAUGUGAAAUCUCCGGGCUCAACCCGGAAAUGGCAUUGGAAACUACCUUGCUAGAGGAUUUGAGGGGGGAUUGGAAUACUUAGUGUAGCAGUGAAAUGCGUAGAUAUCAAGUGGAACACCAGUGGCGAAGGCGAAUCCCUGGAAAAUACCUGACACUGAGGCACGAAAGCUAGGGGAGCAAACAGG
rnacentral:rRNA from 1 species